AGUGAACGCUGGCGGUAGGCCUAACACAUGCAAGUCGAACGGCAGCACAGUAAGAGCUUGCUCUUACGGGUGGCGAGUGGCGGACGGGUGAGGAAUACAUCGGAAUCUACUUUUUCGUGGGGGAUAACGUAGGGAAACUUACGCUAAUACCGCAUACGACCUACGGGUGAAAGCAGGGGAUCUUCGGACCUUGCGCGAUUGAAUGAGCCGAUGUCGGAUUAGCUAGUUGGCGGGGUAAAGGCCCACCAAGGCGACGAUCCGUAGCUGGUCUGAGAGGAUGAGCAGCCACACUGGAACUGAGACACGGUCCGGACUCCUACGGGAGGCAGCAGUGGGGAGUAGUGGACAAUGGGCGCAAGCCUGAUCCAGCCAUACCGAGUGGGUGAAGAAGGCCUUCGGGUUGUAAAGCCCUUUUGUUGGGAAAGAAAAGCAGCAGGUUAAUACCCCGCUGUUCUGACGGUACCCAAAGAAUAAGCACCGGCUAACUUCGUG
rnacentral:rRNA from 1 species